GAUGAAGAACGUAGCGAAAUGCGAUAAGUAAUGUGAAUUGCAGAAUUCAGUGAAUCAUCGAAUCUUUGAACGCACCUUGCGCCCUUUGGCUAUUCCGAAGGGCAUGCCUGUUUGAGUAUCAUGAACACCUCAACUCUCAUGGUUUGCCAUGAUGAGCUUGGACUUUGGGGGUCUUGCCGGCCUAUGGGUCGGCUCCUCUCAAAUUAAUCAGCUUGCCAGUGUUUGGUGGCAUCACAGGUGUGAUAACUAUCUACGCUUGUGGUUUUCCAUCAGGUAACCUUCAGUGAUGGAGGUUCGCUGGGGCUCAUAAAUGUCUCUCCUCAGUGAGGACAGCUUUUUUGGACGUUUGAUCUCAAAUCAGGUAGGACUACCCGCUGAACUUAAGCAUAUCAAUAAGCGGAGGA
rnacentral:misc_RNA from 1 species